GGGGUUUUUGCUGGACUCUCUCCUUGAGGUCAGCUCUCCUAAAAUACAUUAGCAAAACAAUUUGUUUACUGCUCAUUGGUGUGAUAAAUAUCUACGCUAUUGGCGGUAUAAAGCACAGUUUAGCUUCUAACAGUCCAUUGACUUGGACAAUCUUUUAUCAAUGUGACCUCAAAUCAGGUAGGAUUACCCGCUGAACUUAA
rnacentral:misc_RNA from 1 species